rnacentral:rRNA from 1 species
GCUGGCGGGGUGCCUAAUACAUGCAAGCUUAGCGGGAGGGCGGUCUUCUGACUGGUGGCGAGGGGCGAACGGGAGAGUAACGUGUAUGAACAUACCCCCCACUGAGGGAUAUACCCCCAAAAGGCUGGAUAAAACCCCAUGUGAUCUUCGCAUUCGAGCUUUAUGCGCUUUGGCAACUUCCGCGAGAAUUAUCUAGUUGGUGAGGUAAAAGCUUACCAAGGGUACAAGCUAAAACUGGUCAGAGAGGAUGAUCAGUCUAACGGACACUGAGCAACUGCCCAAACUCCUAUCGGAGGCAACAUCUCCGAAUUUUCCACAAUGGGCGAAAGCCGGAUGGAGC